CACCUCUAACACUGGUGCUUGCUGCUCAUCUACUGACCUCCCUGUGCAGAUAUAUAGCUGUGCUACUGGAUUUACUUGGGCUGCUUCUUCCCUAGAAACAAGACAGCCCUUCAGUCUGAAAAAGAAGGGGAGAUAGAUUUGUAGUGCUAUAAAUUGUGAUGGUCUGUGACAUCCCACUGAUUGCUUAUUUGAUAAUCUUCAUUCUGACAUUUCAAGCAGUGCUGAAGUGGCCUUUGGAGAUCUCUGGAAAGCUGCACUGGACAACACUUUACUGGAGAAGAACAACCAUAUCUGGUGUUAUUUUCCAGCAGGAUUCGUUUUGUUGAGGACACAAAACAAAAGCCUUUCUGUCACUGGACAUGCCAUUCGCCUGUCCUGCAGCCAGCCUUUGGCCUUCCAGAUUUGCUGAGUGUGCUCCAAGGGACUGCAGCAGUGCUUUGCUGCUAACUCUUGCCCUGCUUCCUGGAGAGCCAUUGUGCUGCACUGCAAGCAGGCAGGAUACUCGCCCCAGAGUGAGCAGCGAUGGAGGGACUGACGCCGAAACCGCUGGAGACGUUACAGCAUCAUUCCCACAAGCAGCCUUUCAUUGGCAUCUGUGUCCCACAUUCUGCCCUCUCCCUUUCUGGUACCUGAGACUUCAGGUGCAUUAAAGUAACACAGGGUUUGAAGAUGCCUCUCAGCACUACACUGAGGAAGAAGAUAUAUUUGGUUGAGAAGAAUCCCACCCUUACAAAGGGUUAUGGAUCAGAUCACUCAGAAUCCCCUUUAGCUGAGUUGGUGUGGAUGACUACACCAUUUGGACGUUAAUGAGAGGAGGACAAGACUGAAGAUUUACAAAAUCUGUAAGGCUGUAUUGAUUCCUACUGCUGAGCUGCUCUAACAAAGCUGAUUUUUAAUCCCAGUAUGAAGAUGAGAUGCUCUAGUGAUGGAAAUUGGAGGAAACUAUGGUGCCUUUGUCUGCAUGUCAUUUCCAAAUGCUUUUCUUCUGCUAUUUUGCUCCUUGCCACUGGCCAAUGUGAUAUAUAUUGGAAAUAAAGAAA